rnacentral:misc_RNA from 1 species
GUUCAGGAGCUGGAGUUGAAACUCUCGCGACUGGAGCGUCCGCAGGUAAGCGCUCGUUCUCCCCCAGUGUCCAGCAGCGGCCGUACUUGCUUCUGUUGUGGGAGGCCCGGUCACAACCAGGCGCGGUGUCGGCAAAGGCACCUGCCGUGUCAUGUGUGUGGGACCAAAGGACACUUGGCCCGGAUGUGCACGCAGCAGGUAAACCCCCAGCGGGCUGGGCCCGGCCCCGACCCCAGACCCGAGCAGCAGCGGACCCCAGUCUCAGGGUUCCAGCGGGGACCAGGUCCACAUCAGUGGGAUGCCAGACCACAGGACCAGCGGCCGCAGCCGUUGCAGCCGCCCCGGAUGGCCCAGUCGUUGCAGCCCGAGCAGGUGAGAGGACAGUCCACUUGAAUGCUGACAUGACAUUUGACGCUGAUGUGGGAGGUGUGACGUGUUCAGUGACGCUGGACACCGGCAGCAGCAUUAAUAUCAUUCACAAAUCCGUUUUUGAUGUGCUCCCCAAGGCCCCUCCCCUUUUCACUACGGCCACAGUGGCACACACGGUUAGCAGGGACCCCCUACCACUGAUCGGUCGUACACAGAUUGCCGUUAAAGUUGCUGGAGAAGUAGUGGUGGUUCCAUUCUAUGUUUCGGAUCAGAUUGACUGCACUGUUUUGUUGGGAUUGGAGUUCUUUGGCGUGUGCCCGUGUGUUCUGGAUCUCACCAAGAGUCAGCUGAUCCUCAGCUCUGCGAAAAUGGUCAGAACCAUCUCCGCUUCAGUCUUCUCGGUGGGUAAGGUGAUUUGUCAGAGAGACAUCGCGGUUCCGGCCGGACACGAGGUUUUCUUUCCAGGUUUUGUUCCAAACGUCGACUUCAGAGGGCCAGCACUGUGCGAGCCAUUGCUUGAAGUCCCGGGACUCGAGUUGGUUCCUUCCAUGGUGCAGGUAAACGGUCAGAGUGUUCCGUGUAUUGUGAGAAACAUUACAACUGAGCCGGUCACGAUCCCCAAGCGUGCGGAGAUCGGUAGACUGGAAGUUGGCGUGGCUGAGUUUCCAGUCCCUUCAGGUGACGCAGAUCCCAAUUGGCGUGAAAAGAUAGACCUGUCAGACACAGACCUCAGUAAGGAGCAGAAGGAGAAGGUGACCGAGCUGCUGACCAAAUAUAGUGACAUGUUUGAUGGUCGGUUGGGCUUCACAUCCGCGGUGGAGCAUCACAUCGACACAGGUGACAGUCCGCCGAUACGUUCAGCACCCCAUCGCGUCCCACCAUUCCUGGAGGAUAAGGUAAGGGCCGAGAUACAACGCUUGGUGGAUCUAGGGGUUCUGGAAGAGUCGAAUGGAUAUUGGAGUAGUCCUGCAUGCUUUGUCGCAAAGAAAGAUGGACGAGUCCGGAUCUGUGCUGACCUCCGAAAGGUUAACGCUGUGACUAAGAUGCCUGCUUAUCCUGUCCCCAGAAUAGACACGAUUCUAGAUUCCCUGGGUGGAAAUUCAAUGUUCUGUGUGCUUGAUCUUCGCAUGUGUUACUUUCAAAUCGGUGUAAGAGAAGAGGAUCGUCCUAAAACGACUAUCGUCACCCCGUUCGGCGCUUGGCAGCACCUUCGGCUCCCGAUGGGACUCAAUGGUGCCGCGGCUAGCUGCGCCCGCAUGCUCGAUAUUGUUUUGCGCGAUCUUCCCAAGGGCACGUGUCAUUCCUACUUUGAUGAUGUUUGUUUGGGUGGUAAGACGUUCGAGGAGACACUUGAGAAGCUCGAGCUAGUUCUAGACAGGCUCCACCGAGCCGGUCUCACGAUCAAUCUGGAAAAGUGCUCCCUGUUCCGUUCGAGUGUCAAAUUCUUGGGACAUGUGGUGGAUGAGAGUGGCUUGUCUCUCGACCCCGACCGUGUGAGCAAAGUGCGCGACUGGCCGAUUCCGCGGACAGCCAAGCAGCUCUCCUCAUUCCUAGGGCUGGCUGGUUACAUGCGCAAAUUUGUCAAAAAUUUUGCGAGCAUCUCUGCACCGCUCUUCAAGCUGUUGCAGAAAGACGUGAAGUUCCAGUGGUCAGAGGAAGCGCAGUUCUCGUUCGACCGGCUUCGCAAAGCCCUCAGUGAAGCCCCAGUAGCACUAGAGAACUCGAACAGAAGUCAUCAGAAGAAUAAGGAGAUUUAUGAUAGAAAGCUAAAUGAGAAUAGUUACCUACCUGGAGACAAAGUGUAUCUGCAUAAGGGAAUCGUUCCGCGCGGUCAGUAUUAUAAGUUUUUGCGUCCUUGGAAGAGAGCAGUAGUAGUAGAUCAGGUCGGUCCUCUGAACUAUAGGAUCAGACUAGAAGGAGCUAGGUCUACGCUCAUCGUACACCACAACAGGUUGAAGCCUCGAGUGGAUACCGGAGAAGGUGAGUCACCGGUGACCGCACCGACAGCGUCCGUCUCACGGGCGGACCCCGCCGCGAGACCACAGCCGGCUGUCGGGACAGCAGCAGGCGUGACCUUUCCGACAGGCCGAAGGAGGAUGGAUGGUGUCAGUGACAAUCAGCGGGUAAGUGGUGCGCAGUGUGAAGGUAGGCCUAGUUGCCAACCAGCUGACGCCGCUAGUCUUGACGACUCAGGACCGCCGGCCCUGUCCCUGCUGAAUCCGUUCGCCAUAUCUUUCGCCCCGCAGACACUCCCAGUUCAGACAGAGACAGCGCGUGAGACACGUGAGACGCCAGAGGGAGUCGCAGAACCGAUAGCAGGUUCAGCUCCGACUGGAGCAGCAGAGGUGCCGCCCGACGUGGCGAACACUCAGGUUACCGCAGAUAUGCGCAGUCCCGAAUUGCGUAGGUCAACACGAGUAGUCAUUCCUCCCGACAGGUAUUCGCCGUGAUUUUCCGUUGUGGGUACCUAUCACACAGAGCUGCUGUGUGCUGCUGUCGUUUUUAAUGUUUAAUACUGGGUGAAAGGCAAUGACAUUGGGCGAUAACUUGACUUGUGAUUCCUAUCGUAGUAAGAACAGCUGCAAGCGAGCCUUAGUGUUACCUCUGUACAAUGGGCACCUAGGUAGUUCUCUAGCGAAUGGAGAAGCGCACGAGCUGAGCUGCAAUACGGAGUUAUUCAGUUGAGACCGAACAUGUUUAGCCGUCCAGUUAAAAAAAAAAGUUCCUUUGUUCGUAGGUCGAUGCGUUGUAUUGUAUGUGUAAAUAAUCGAGAAGUUUCUUCGCGUUAGGGAGGAAGGGUGUAAGCGGAUUUCCGCUUACAUGUUAUGCGAGCGGAUACUGGGCCUACCAGAAGUGAAAGUGGCAACUCUAAAUUCGUCCUGUGCUGCAAUAAUGUCCUUGGUUUGUUGUCGCGUGUUUAGUGCUAUUUAGUUAUGAUACUGAUUUGUAAUGACUAUUUUAUUAUUUGAUAUUGAUCGGUACCAAUGUUUCUUUAGUUAUGUGUCAUAUUUCUUAUCCGAAGAGUUUUAGACUUCCUGUAAUGAUUUCGUCCAAUGAUGUAGCUGCGCGCCACGCGAGAGCCAAUCAGGUAACCGUUUAUUCUGACCAAUGAGAGAGCAGCCGAAUUUCCGUUGAGCCCCCGUCGCGUCCAGAGCGGGAAUUCGGUGCGCCGCGACAUGGCGAGGAUCGAGAUGUGCUUGGAUUGCGCCUGCUUGAACGGGCGUUUCAGUUUGUUUGUUUGUCUGCUGAAUACACGCUUGGUUGGCUCCGA